AUGAGCUGCUUGCCGUGUUUCGGGAAGAAGAAGGAUGGCAACGCCGAGGGAGGGGGCGGCGAGCAGGCGGGGGCGGGGCCCAUGACGCCGCCUCCCGCCGUGCACGCGCCCGCGUCCUACCACGGCCCGGCUGCUGCCGCGCCCGUCUCCGUGGCAGCUCCGGCGAGCGUGACGCCGACCAAGCCGCCCGGCGAGAGCGACGCCAACCCGGAGGACGCGCUGCGGCAGGCCAUCGAGGUGAAGGCGUUCGCGUUCCGGGAGCUCGCGGCGGCCACCGAUCACUUCACGCCGUACAACCUCGUCGGAGAAGGAGGCUUCUUCAGGGUGUACAAGGGCCAGCUAGAGAAGGAAGGGCAGGCCGUGGCCAUCAAGCAGAUGGACAAGCAUGGCUUCCAAGGCAACAUCGAGUUCCUGACCGAGGUCUCCAAGCUCAGCAAGCUUCACCACGAGAACCUCAUCGACAUCAUCGGCUACUGCGCCGACGGCGACCAGCGGCUCCUCGUCUACGAGCACAUGGACGGCGGCACCUUGGAAGACCACCUCUACGACUUGCCGCCGGAGAAGAAGCCUAUGGACUGGAUGACAAGGAUGAAGGUGGCCAACGGCGCCGCUCAGGGGCUCGAGUACCUGCACGAGAAAGCGGACCCGCCGGUGGUGUAUGGCGACUUCAAGGCCUCCCAAGUCCUGCUCGACUCCAGCUUCACGCCCAAGCUCUCCGACUUCGGCCUCCAGCAGCUCGGCCAGUCCGGCGGUGGCAACAUGCCGAUGGCGUCGCCGAUGAUGGGUGCCUUCGGGUGCCUCGCGCCGGAGUACGACCGCGGCGGCCAGGUCAGCAUGAAGUCCGACGUGUACAGCUUCGGGGUGGUGCUGCUGCAGCUCAUCUCCGGCAGGCGGACCGUCGACACCAGCAAGCCCGUCGAGGAGCAGAACGUCGUCACCUGGGUACGUAAUUCACCACCGCAUCCAUCACCACGGCCAUCGAUCGGCGUCGACAAUUUUUUGCUAAUUAAGGUUGUGCGAUCCGCGGUGCGGUCGUUGCAGGCACAACCGAAGUUCAAAGACCAGAAGAAAUAUCACGAGCUGGUGGACCCGCUUAUCAAGAGGGAGUACCCGGCCAAAGCGUUGAACCAAGUGGUGGCCAUGGCUUCCAUGUGCUUGCAAGAAGAGGACUGCGUGCGGCCAAUGAUGGGCGACGUCGUCAUGACGCUAGGCUUCCUCAUGAUGCUGCCGCCGGAUCCGCCCGCCCCAGAGCCAGAGCCAGCCCCCGCCCCCGCCCCCGCCCCCGAGCCAGUCCCCGAGCCGGCACCCAAAAAGGAUGACGAAUCGCGUCGCUCUGGAAGCUCGUCGUCCUCUUCGGAUGACGACGGCGGCGAGGAGGAAGAAGAAGAAGAGCAAAGUUAA
rnacentral:rRNA from 1 species